rnacentral:rRNA from 1 species
CAGUAGCCGCGGUAAUACGUAGGGGGCAAGCGUUAUCCGGAAUAACUGGGCGUAAAGGGUGCGCAGGUGGUUUAACAAGUUAGUGGUGAAAGGCAUAGGCUCAACCAAUGUAAGCCAUUAAAACUGUUUAACUUGAGUGCAAGAGGGGAGAGUGGAAUUCCAUGUGUAGCGGUGAAAUGCGUAGAGAUGUGGAGGAAUACCGAAGGCGAAGGCAGCCCCUUGGGAAUGUACUGACGCUCAUGUGCGAAAGCGUGGGGAGCAAACAGGAUUAGAUACCCCUGUAGUCCCUGUCUCUUAUACA